rnacentral:misc_RNA from 1 species
GAAAUGCGAUAAGUAAUGUGAAUUGCAGAAUUCAGUGAAUCAUCGAAUCUUUGAACGCACAUUGCGCCCCUUGGUAUUCCGGGGGGCAUGCCUGUUCGAGCGUCAUUAUAACCCCUCAAGCUCAGCUUGGUGUUGGGGCCUGCCGUCCGGCAGCCCUUAAAAUCAGUGGCGGUGCCACCUGGCUCUAAGCGUAGUAAUUCUUCUCGCUAUAGGGUCCAGGUGGAUGCUUGCCAUCAACCCCCAAUUUUUUAUGGUUGACCUCGGAUCAGGUAGGGAUACCCGCUGAACUUAA